GGCGGGGUGUAUGUGGUGCGGCACUGCGCGUGCGCGCGAGGCCUCUUGCGUCAUUUAGCCGCGCCUAGGUUUGCCGGCGCCGGCCCUAGGUCCCGGCAGCGGUGGUGACGGCGGUGCCGGAGGUUGUCCUUGGCAGGUUUUCCUCGGCGCUUUUCCAUGGAGGAGGCGGUGCGAACGGCUUCAGCCCCGAAUGCUCGCAUCUCCCACUGGACGGCGACGAAGGCGGUGGCCGUGCGAGCGCAGGACUGGGCGGCCUGUGUGGGGGUGUGAGCCGCGGUGCCCCAGGCUGCGCCGGCGAGGGGAAGCCGCGCGGCCGGCCGGCCGACUAGGGUGAGGUCGCCACUCCUUCCUUUCAGGCUGGAGCUACUCGGCCAGGGUUUAAGACUUUAAAUGAGAAUAAAGGGUGGUAUUUACGAGGAAAUGAGAGUGAAUAAGUCAUCUCUAACCUCUCCCAGCCUUUUUUUCAUAAGAGAGACCAUAUUAAACUUACAUGCUCUCCCGGCUGUGAUAGACCUUCAGUUACAGAGAGAGGGAGCAGAGUGGGACCAGGUCUGAGAAUAGUGAAGCAACUCAUUCCUUUCAGGACAUUCCCUCUGAUGUCCUAUUUUCAAACUGUUUGAAGACUGCUUCAUUCUGCCUCUAGUACCAGCGGUUUCUCUGUUCUGUGAUCAAUGUGAUUCACAGGAACUCCUUAAGUAACAAACGAAAUGAGCCAGGGGCGUGGAAAAUAUGACUUCUAUAUUGGUCUGGGAUUGGCUAUGAGCUCCAGCAUUUUCAUUGGAGGAAGUUUCAUUUUGAAAAAAAAAGGCCUCCUUCGACUUGCCAGGAAAGGCUCUAUGAGAGCAGGUCAAGGUGGCCAUGCAUAUCUUAAGGAAUGGUUGUGGUGGGCUGGACUGCUGUCAAGUAUGUAUAAAGAACAUUGCAAGAAAAAUAUGAUAGCUGUAUAUUAAAAUAUUUGCAUAUGGUAUUAUAG
rnacentral:lncRNA from 1 species